AAUCAGUGUGAAUUCCCAAGACUUUUCACCAUUCUGAUAAGCCUUGUAUUUCUGAAAUCAUCGUGCCUCUGAGGUGUUGGCAGCAUAACAGGGGAAAUGACAUAUUCCAAAAUGAGUGAUUUCCUGCAACUGCUUCCUGAUGAGAUCGCUCUGGAAAUUCACUCCCAAGGGCUGUAAUAAUCUUUUGGUAAGGAGCCCCACCAGUCUUCUGUGAACUUUUGUCUUCUGCUCUUUGGAGAGGAACUGCCUUGCUUGGUCCACGUUUCAGGAUAAUCAGAUCUGAAAAGCCUCCUCUGUUGUGCAUGAGACUUCCUCAUGAGUCUCACUGUCCAAACUGUCGUCCUCCACGCAAGCCACAAGUUGGGCCACAUGCGGCCGCAGCUGCAUGCGGCCACUGGAGCCGGUACUGCUACCGAUGGCAAAGCAGCUGCGAAAGAGGGGUGCAUUCUCCAAGUCUAGCGAGGAGACAAGAGAGCAAAUCCUCAGGCAUCUCUUCACACUGCAAAGACGCCAUGUGGCCAGCAGGAGAGAUGGCAUCCCCACCCCGGAAAAGCCUCAGAGCAACUCCUGAACAAGGGUUGGACGGCUUUCAAGUUGAUCCCGACUUAUGGCUACCCUAUGAAGAGGGUUUUCAUGAUGUAUAAUCACUGGACUUGAAGUAUGGGCUCUGCACAGUUUUGUUGGCUUUCCCAGAGAGACUGCCAAGCCAAGAACCAAAUCUGAUCAGGGACCCCUCAAACAGCAUUUGAUAAUACAGUCUCUAGUUUGGAAGGAGGUCUGGGGUUCAGGACUUGCAACUUGAGAGGCAGCCACUGGAGUCUUUGCCUGCUGUCAGGAGCGUGUGUUGGGUGCAUUCAGCCUGCUCUACAGCCUGAAUGAGGCCUUCCAGUAAAUGUUAUUAAUAAGUCACAUGAAGGGAUCAUCCAGAGGUCGGAAACCUGUGGCCUCCCAAUCAAACAUUUCUGAACUACAAUUCCCAUCAUCCCUGACCACUGGCCAUGCUGGCUGAUGGCAACUAAGAGCCCAGCAGCAUCUGGGAGCCUUGCUAAACAACAGGAAAGACAAAUUGGAUAAGCCAAGCAGUGCCACCACUCCACGAAGCCCAGGCACCUGGGACUUACAGAGCUUUGAGCUUUUAAAAAUCUGAACAGCAGUUUACUGAAGAGAAAAGUAUCGGAAAGGUAACAAAAGAGCCGCACUCGUGGGCUGUAUUUCUUUGAGGGAUCCUGAUCUGGAAAAUGGGGACCAAUCUAUAGGGAGUUGGCAGCGUAUCCACACAUGUCCCUUUCGCAAAACAAAACACUCCAAAACCUGUUAAAUAAGCAGCUCUUUUCCCCUCCCCGGAGGAAGCACCAAAAUUCCAGCAAAGGUUUUGCAACCGAAAAUCGGCUUUUGCACUUCCUGCGGUUAUUACCAUGACGAGCUGGGGGGCCGCAUCACACGC